UUCACUGGACUGUCCAAAGGAACAGGAAUGUGACCCAAAGUGGCCUAAUUAUGUACUUUCAGAACUUGGAACUAGAAAACUCAUAGGGACUGAAGACCAUUGAACAGAGCAACUGAACAGGUUAAGCCUCUUUUUUCUAACAUUAUGUGAAGAAGGAUUAUAAGUGGGAUGCAUCCAAAUGUCUCAGGAAAAGGAUGGUGCUAGCCUCUCAGAGGGAGAAAGCUCAGCGAAGCUUUAUAUUUCCAAUAAAGUCAUCUGAAUCCUUCCUGCCAGAAGGAACUCCAACAUACGCGCAAUACAUCACUGCUGUGAGUUUACUUCAAGCCCAGAAGUACAAGGGGGUGGAUGAACAUUCUUCUGGACUAAAUUCAACAUUAUGGUUCCUGCAAAAUUGACCAUAAGUAAGACACAUGGAAAGUACUUGAGGCUGUAAAAUUGAGGAAGAAUUUGCUGAGCAAUGGCUGUAGAUACUGCUUAUGCAACUGGCAUCUGCUUGAAAAACUGGAUAACGAUAAAAGCUACAGAAAAUUGCAGAGUCUGAAGUGUAUGACGGCGGGGAACUGAAUACAUUGCCCACAUCAGAGUCCCAGCCCUAAGAGGUUAAAAAGAUCUUGGAGAGUCACCUCUUUGAAGUCACAAAUGGCUGAGACAAUGGUCAAAGCAAUGAAAGACAGUCAAGCCACGUUGUAGUUCUUACCUUUAAAAAGCGGGGUGUAGAGAAAGAAAUUCUGUACUUGUUGCCAGAUGGAGCUGUCUUCUGGAAUACGAUUUCAUGCAUUUACCCACAA